UACGUAGGAGACGAGCGUUGUCCGGAAUCACUGGGCGUAAAGGGCGCGUAGGUGGCCUGUGGAAGUCUGCGGUGAAAGCCCGGCGCUCAACGCCGGGUCGGCCGUGGAUACUCUCGGGCUUGAGCUUACUAGAGGCAGAUGGAAUUCCGGGUGUAGCGGUGGAAUGCGCAGAGAUCCGGAAGAACACCGGUGGCGAAGGCGGUCUGCUGGGGUAAUGCUGACACUGAGGCGCGACAGCGUGGGGAGCAAACAGG
rnacentral:rRNA from 1 species